rnacentral:lncRNA from 1 species
UCGUUGACUGAUAAAGAACGAGGCGACGCGCUGUUUAAACGAGCCGAGUUGGUGAAGAGCAUGAAUCGGCGCGGCGGCCGCGUCGACUCAGCUAUUGACGAUUUGACCAAGGCUCUAGAAUUGAGCGGAGAUAACGCCAAGGCUUUUUGUCUGUUGGGAGAGUGUUAUGAAAUGAAGAAGAUGAAAUCGGAAGCUAAAUCGGCAUUCGAGAAAGCUCUUAAGGUCGAGCCUACCUCCAACGUCGCUCGGACCGCCAUUGAUCGACUGGGCUCGUAGUCGGGUCCUUUAUUUUCUUCCACCACCUUGUUCUCGACGCCUCCGUUUCAGAUUUUCUUUUCCUGUAUCAUUUUGUUGUGUAUUUCACUAUUUCGAUGUUUUUUAGAACAUUCUCAAUUCAAUGAAUUUGCCGCUAUUUUUAAUAAAAAUAAAUCCGA